rnacentral:rRNA from 1 species
ACUCCUACGGGAGGCAGCAGUGGGGAAUAUUGCACAAUGGGCGCAAGCCUGAUGCAGCCAUGCCGCGUGUAUGAAGAAGGCCUUCGGGUUGUAAAGUACUUUCAGCAGUGAGGAAGGCAGGUACGUUAAUAGCGUGCUUGUUUGACGUUAGCUGCAGAAGAAGCACCGGCUAACUCCGUGCCAGCAGCCGCGGUAAUACGGAGGGUGCGAGCGUUAAUCGGAAUUACUGGGCGUAAAGCGCAUGCAGGUGGUUUGUUAAGUCAGAUGUGAAAGCCCGGGGCUCAACCUCGGAAUUGCAUUUGAAACUGGCAGACUAGAGUACUGUAGAGGGGGGUAGAAUUUCAGGUGUAGCGGUGAAAUGCGUAGAGAUCUGAAGGAAUACCGGUGGCGAAGGCGGCCCCCUGGACAGAUACUGACACUCAGAUGCGAAAGCGUGGGGAGCAAACAGGAUUAGAUACCCUGGUAGCACA